rnacentral:rRNA from 1 species
ACGAACGCUGGCGGCGUGCCUAAUACAUGCAAGUCGAGCGGACCAACUUAAGAGCUUGCUCUUAUGAGGUUAGCGGCGGACGGGUGAGUAACACGUGGGCAACCUGCCCUGUAGACUGGGAUAACAUCGAGAAAUCGGUGCUAAUACCGGAUAAUUGUUGGAACUGCAUAGUUCUAACUUGAAAGAUGGCUCCGGCUAUCACUAUAGGAUGGGCCCGCGGCGCAUUAGCUAGUUGGUAAGGUAAUGGCUUACCAAGGCGACGAUGCGUAGCCGACCUGAGAGGGUGAUCGGCCACACUGGGACUGAGACACGGCCCAGACUCCUACGGGAGGCAGCAGUAGGGAAUCUUCCGCAAUGGACGAAAGUCUGACGGAGCAACGCCGCGUGAGUGAUGAAGGUUUUCGGAUCGUAAAGCUCUGUUGUUAGGGAAGAACAAGUGCCGUUCGAAUAGGGCGGCACCUUGACGGUACCUAACCAGAAAGCCACGGCUAACUACGUG